rnacentral:rRNA from 1 species
AGCGAACGCUGGCGGCAGGCCUAACACAUGCAAGUCGAACGAACUCUUCGGAGUUAGUGGCGGACGGGUGAGUAACACGUGGGAACGUGCCUUUAGGUUCGGAAUCACUCAGGUAAACUUGUGCUAAUACCGAAUGUGCCUUUCGGGGGAAAGAUUUAUCGCCUUUAGAGCGGCCCGCGUCUGAUUAGCUAGUUGGUGAGGUAAAGGCUCACCAAGGCGACGAUCAGUAGCUGGUCUGAGAGGAUGAUCAGCCACAUUGGGACUGAGACACGGCCCAAACUCCUACGGGAGGCAGCAGUGGGGAAUCUUGCGCAAUGGGCGAAAGCCUGACGCAGCCAUGCCGCGUGAAUGAUGAAGGUCUUAGGAUUGUAAAAUUCUUUCACCGGGGACGAUAAUGACGGUACCCGGAGAAGAAGCCCCGGCUAACUUCGUGCCAGCCGCCGCCGUAA